GACGAGCCACACAAACGUUAUUCGGAAUCACUGGGCUUAAAGGGUGCGUAGGCGGCGCAGCAAGUUGGGUGUGAAAUCCUACAGCUUAACUGUAGAAGUGCACUCAAAACUGCUGUGCUUGAGGGAGACAGAGGUGAGCGGAACUGAGGGUGGAGCGGUGAAAUGCGUUGAUAUCCUCAGGAACACCGGUGGCGAAAGCGGCUCACUGGGUCUCUUCUGACGCUGAGGCACGAAAGCUAGGGGAGCGAACGGG
rnacentral:rRNA from 1 species